CAUUGACAAGGCAAGCAAUGUGAUAUCAAUUGUACACGUGAAGUCAUAGCAUGAUUCUUGAAAAGAAAAGUUAACUUUGCAGUACAGUCAUCUAUCACUGGUUCUUUUGUGAACCACAAGAAAGAAUCAGAGACCAUCACCAAGGAUGUAGAGGAAACAACAGGAAACCAAACCAGGAGCCUAAAGUGGAACUAGAAGAGAGAGAAGAGAAGAGCAGUGGGAUUUUUUUUUUUCAAAUGGCACUGAUGAGACUCAUUCCCACUGGGGCCCUUCAGCUCUGUAACAUCCCCCUGGUAAGUAUCCAGAGCUAAAUCUACAUCAGUCACUGUAACCUGGUUAGACUACAGGCCUUAAGAAA
rnacentral:lncRNA from 1 species